rnacentral:misc_RNA from 1 species
GUAACAAGGUUUCCGUAGGUGAACCUGCGGAAGGAUCAUUAAAGCGUUGCCGACGUCGGCCCCGGCCGUUCGGCUUGAAAUAUAGCCUGGACGGUGCUGGAGGUCGCCGGCAGUUGCCCAUUCUUGCCUACUGACCCAGUUGCCUCGGCGAGCCGUGCCACUCGUGGCAGACCGGAAGCCGUUUGAACCCCUAGGGCUCAGGCGGCCCUGGCCAGUGCCCGCCGACGGACAGACUUAAAAUCUUUAUAUAUUGGCCGUCUGAGCGUAUAAAGCAAAUCAAUUAAAACUUUCAACAACGGAUCUCUUGGUUCCGGCAUCGAUGAAGAACGCAGCGAAAUGCGAUAAGUAAUGUGAAUUGCAGAAUUCCGUGAAUCAUCGAAUCUUUGAACGCACAUUGCGCCCCCUGGUAUUCCGGGGGGCAUGCCUGUUCGAGCGUCAUUGCAACCCUCAAGCUCGGCUUGUGUGAUGGGCGACCGUCCUUCCCCUAGGGGCGGGACGCGUCCGAAAAGCAGUGGCUAGGCCGCGAUUCCGGCGCCUGAGCGAAUGGGACUUCCACCGCUUCUAGGACCGGCCGGCACUUGGCCUUUAAACACGGUCUUAACUGACCAUCUAGGUUGACCUCGGAUCAGGUAGGGAUACCCGCUGAACUUAAGCAUAUCA